rnacentral:sRNA from 1 species
CAUCACUAGUCUAGAUACUUGAAUUUAAACCCCCUGAAUUCAGCAAAAGCCCCUUCAUCAUUCAUCAGGCCCGAUACCAUCACUCCAAUGGACCAGUUAAAGUCAUCCGACCUCUCCCCAUCCUCUUUCACCCCGAAAGCUUGCACUUCCCGUAAGUUGGCCAAUUCAUCCUCUGUGGGGGGAUUGUCAAUGUCCACGAUAGACUGUUGAGACCAUUUGAUGAGUAUGGUAUGACCGGUGAUUGAGAGCUCCUUGACCAGCUUGAGGUAAAUCCAGUCACCGCUGGCCUCAGAAGACAACUCUCUGUUGGAUGGAACGGUUGAUACAUCGCACCAUGGGGCAGCAACGACUGCGCUACAGAUGGAGCAUGUCAACAUCCUUAGUAACUACUUCGGAGAUGUGUGUUAGCCUUACUUUAUCCAUUGCCGCUCGUCGAACGUCUCGGUACCAGUCUUCAGCCAGUGGGCACUUGUAUCGGCAAGUUCUCCGCCGUGAAGAACAAGGCAUGCCUGAUCAUACAAUCCCUUCAAACCCGACCUCAACCAGACUUCAGCUUGAAAAGGUCUAGAGCCAUCGAUGGCUAUAUGAGCGAAAGGGCCAUCCUUGCGGUUAACCUUUACCGGUUCAGGAUUACGCCACCAGUCGACGAGCUUGGGAGCUUGAAUUUUAAGGUGGUCGUGUUGAAGGGUGGUGGCUACGGGAGCAGAGGAGUAGGGGUGAAAUGUGAGGUCUUGUAAGGUCUUGAUAAAGCUUUCAGACAUUUUUUUGGGCAGAUAUGGUGUCUAGCAAUCUGAUUGGGGUGUAUGCGAUAGAUGAGAGGUCAAUGAGGUUCUCGAUGGCAGGAGGAUGAACUUCAAUUGAGUGACAGUCAGCAAUGAAGAAAUCCGCGGAAAUGUUAUGCGACAAUCACCAAGGCCUCGUAGACAAUGGGCGUGAUGUAAAUGCAGUACAG